rnacentral:tRNA from 1 species
CAAGAAGUAGUUUAAUUAGAAUAUUAGCUUUGGGUGCUAGUGGCAGGGGAUUAGUUCCUUCUUCUUGA